rnacentral:rRNA from 1 species
UACGGAGGGGACUAGCGUUGUUCGGAAUUACUGGGCGUAAAGCGCACGUAGGCGGAUUUGUAAGUCAGUGGUGAAAGCCCUUCGCUUAACGAAGGAACUGCCAUUGAUACUGCAAAUCUUGAGUACAUUUGAUGUGGGCGGAAUGUGUCAUGUAGCGGUGAAAUGCUUAGAUAUGACACAGAACACCGAUUGCGAAGGCAGCUCACAAAACUGUAACUGACGCUGAGGCACGAAAGCGUGGGUAUCAAACAGG